GACGAACGCUGGCGGCGUGCCUAAUACAUGCAAGUAGAACGCACAGGAUGCACCGUAGUUUACUACACCGUAUUCUGUGAGUUGCGAACGGGUGAGUAACGCGUAGGUAACCUGCCUGGUAGCGGGGGAUAACUAUUGGAAACGAUAGCUAAUACCGCAUAAGAACAUUUACUGCAUGGUGGAUGUUUAAAAGGUGCAAAUGCAUCACUACCAGAUGGACCUGCGUUGUAUUAGCUAGUAGGUGAGGUAACGGCUCACCUAGGCGACGAUACAUAGCCGACCUGAGAGGGUGAUCGGCCACACUGGGACUGAGACACGGCCCAGACUCCUACGGGAGGCAGCAGUAGGGAAUCUUCGGCAAUGGGGGGAACCCUGACCGAGCAACGCCGCGUGAGUGAAGAAGGUUUUCGGAUCGUAAAGCUCUGUUGUUAAGGAAGAACGAGUGUGAGAAUGGAAAGUUCAUACUGUGACGGUACUUAACCAGAAAGGGACGGCUAACUACGUGCCAGCAGCCGCGGUAAUACGUAGGUCCCGAGCGUUGUCCGGAUUUAUUGGGCGUAAAGCGAGCGCAGGCGGUUAGAUAAGUCUGAAGUUAAAGGCAGUGGCUCAACCAUUGUAGGCUUUGGAAACUGUUUAACUUGAGUGCAGAAGGGGAGAGUGGAAUUCCAUGUGUAGCGGUGAAAUGCGUAGAUAUAUGGAGGAACACCGGUGGCGAAAGCGGCUCUCUGGUCUGUAACUGACGCUGAGGCUCGAAAGCGUGGGGAGCGAACAGG
rnacentral:rRNA from 1 species